rnacentral:rRNA from 1 species
AGAAUCAACGCUGGCGGCGUGCCUAACACAUGCAAGUCGAACGAGAAAGUGGAGCAAUCCAUGAGUAAAGUGGCGCACGGGUGAGUAACACGUGACUAACCUACCCUUGAGUGGGGGAUAACCUAGGGAAACCUGGGCUAAUACCGCAUAAUACCUUCGGGUCAAAGGAGCAAUUCGCUUAAGGAGGGGGUCGCGGCCGAUUAGUUAGUUGGCGGGGUAAUGGCCCACCAAGACUGUGAUCGGUAUCCGGCCUGAGAGGGCGCACGGACACACUGGAACUGAAACACGGUCCAGACUCCUACGGGAGGCAGCAGUGGGGAAUUUUGCGCAAUGGGGGAAACCCUGACGCAGCAACGCCGCGUGGAGGAUGAAGCCCCUUGGGGCGUAAACUCCUUUCGAUCGGGACAUAAUGACGGUACCGGAAGAAGAAGCCCCGGCUAACUUCGUGCCAGCAGCCGC